rnacentral:lncRNA from 1 species
AAAUAAAUUUAAUUAGUUGUCUAUACUAAUUUUUAACAAGUAUUUCUUUUGUUGUUGAAAUGAAAGACAACUAAAAUUUGGUUGCUUUUAUUGUAUUUUAACGACAAAAAUAGUUAUUAAACAACCAAACAAUUCGUUGUUGAAAAAUAUAAUCAAUUGUCAAUACAAACCUUUUACGACCAAUUAUUUAGUUGCUAAAGUAAUACAGUUAACGAUCAAAUGUAUUUUUAGUCAUUGAAUAUAAUCGCGAACACCUCUUUGCUGACCAACGAACGACCAACUGAUUUUAGUCGUUGAAUGUGAUCAACAACCAAAAAUGUACAUUCUACGACCAUUUAUAUGGUUGUUAAAGGUGAUAUUUCCUGUGGUGCUUAAAUGUCUUUUAUUUUUAUUAAAAUGUGAAACUUCUGUAGAACGAAAAUGAAUAGAAGCAAGAAAUGAUGGAGAAGCUCUCUAGAAAAUUGCGAAAAUCUUGUCGAGCAUCUCAAUUCAAUGACAACAACAAUUUCUCUCUACUUGCGACAAUGGCCAUCUGAGUGACACCCAAGGUUUCCAAUUAUUCAAUACUCAAAAGCUCAUGUAUUGUAAUUGUGUGUGAAUAUCAAUAAUUGAGUGUUAACUGAAUUUCUUUAGUUUUGAAUUAUCUAUGUAUCGUUAAUUGUGUAUAUUUGAUUAUUUGUAGAGUAAGAGUAGCUUUUUCGAUCUUUCGAGAAGAAUCUAGUUCAGUCGGUCUUUUCUUUGGAAGUUAUGAGUAUAAAUGAUUAUUCUAAUAUAUUUUUUAAAUUGUUUUUUAGUUCACUGAGUUGAUACUGGUUUAAUUCUUGUAGAGCAUUUUUGCUAAACUACUUUUUUAUUACACAGCUGUACUCAUUUUCUCAAUUUUUCAACAGGCUUAUUAUCCCUGGGAAUUGUUGGUCUUUGAAUUUUUAUUGUAACACCAUGCAUAUAGAAUAGAUGUUGAUUAGGGUCUAUAAAACUUGUCUAUCUUGACGCAUACUUAUAAAUAAUUUUUAUAUGAAAUUCCAUUAGAAGUCCAUUUUAGUAGGGUGAAUAAGGCACGUGAGGUGAGCAAUAUCAAGUAAAAUGCUUGGUUGACAAGAUAAAAAUUUAUGAAAAAACACAUGCUAAAUUUUAUUCUCAAUGAACUUGUAGCUGGCUAUAUGUAUCCUUCUUCUUUCAUACUGUCCAAUACAUUUAGAGUUUUAGAUUUAGAGCCUGUUUGGGAGUGAUUUUGAGCAUUGAUUUUUUUACCGUUAGGGGAAAAGUGGGGUCCACCUGUGAAAGAAGAAGUGAAAUAUGAUAGCUGAAAUAGUAAAAUAACGAUUAAAAAAUCAAUUUUUUGGGGGAAAAAAUCACUCCCAAACAGGCUCUUAGCAAUAUAGCAGCAUAUUUACUGUUAUGUCUAAUGAAAUAAAAUCUUUUGCAAAUUAUGAUAAAUUGGGACUACUUCUCCCCUAUGGUAUUGAUGUUGCAAGAUUUUAUGCAAAAUUGGUGGUCCCUGCAUCAUCCAAGACCAUAAUUAGAACCAAACUUACUCAUAAUUGGGUUAAUUAUGCAUCCUAAGCUCUUAUCCAACAUUAUCGCUCUCAUCCAAAUGUGGUCGUGUGUAUGAGUGUUGAUCAGUUGGUAUAAGCAAAUUAAUAGUACGGAACUUUAAACAGACCAUAAGAUAUAAGCAUUUGUGGGCACUGCCAUAAAGUACCAUCACUACUUUUCUUAUACACAAAUGAAGGAUGCACUACGAUGUUUGAAAAUAUAUGCCUCGACAUCCAUAAUUUGGUGAAUAAUCGAUUAAGAAAAAUUAAUGGGAAUAUCAAAAUCACAUAUUUAGUCAGAUAUUAAAUUCUCUGUGUACGACGUCCAUUGCCAGGAAUGAAUACUAGAGGCGUCAACAAGGACAAGGGAGUAAGCUUUUCUUAGUUCACCUUCAUUCUGAAGUCGUGAGAGAUUAUAAGUAAUGCUAGAUUCUCUCACAAAUUGGUCAUUAAUCCAAAACACAUAAAUCCUUCAUUUUUAAAAUAUUGCAUGAAUGUUGAAUAUGUUAUAACUUACAAUAGAAGAACUAAAACUAAGUUGAAAGGGAAUUAUUUGUUCUAAAAACAUGAAAAUCAAUUCAAUUCUAAUUCAUAUUAGUAGACAUCAUCUUGUUUCCGAAAGAAAUGAAACCAAAACCUAAGUGGCAAGUAUAAAUUCACUUUUAUGUCUUUAUAAUUUCACAUGAUAAGAUUUGAAGAACAUGGAUUUGAAAAAAUAGUGGUAUAAAUUUAUAAUGUUGACCUUAUCUGAUAUGAGCCUCAGCCUUAAAAAUCCUUACCUAUUAUGGCUCAUUUUUAGCUUCAAUUUCAAUUUCAGUUUAUUCUUUGGUCUAAAAUUCAUCGUGGCCUGAGAUUAUAUUAAGCUCGGUUUGAAUUGGUUUUAUUCACAAUCAUAAUGGACAUUGGAAGGGUUGUUACACCUGUGUCAUUCUUUGUGCUCAUUUUUCUUGUUUCUAUCCGAUUAACAGCAUUAUCGUGCAUACUUCAUGUACGAGGUUGAUUCGUGGAGCAUCAUGUCUGCAGGUUAGGUUCUUCCUCUUAAUUUUGUAUUUCCAUUUUCUUGAUAGGUGAGUUUGUAGUCCAUGUAUUGCAUACUGGGAAUGAUGUUAUGAGUUCACUACUCAAAUGGAUUUUGUUUGUUACUAUUUUCAUCGGCAGCAUUGCCCUGAAAAUCAUUUUUUUGUUUUAAUUUAUUUCAACUGUCGCGGUAAUUUUUAUCGCUAUAUGCUUAGUCACUAAAGUUUAAUUAAGUUUACUUAUAAUCUUUGUUGCAUAAAUUGUUUAUUUAUAUGCUUUCUCAUAUUAUUCAUGCAAUUUCUAAAUAAAUCUAUGGAAAAUAUGCAAAGAAAGAUAUUGAAUAACCAAUUCACUCUGUCAACGAAAGUACAAAUUCUUAUUCUUGUCUUUAAAAGAUUAAGGUUUCUUUGCAUUCUAUGCUUCCCUCUAUUAACUUCAAAAUUCAAGCAAAGCAAUGUCAAGGUCUUGUGCAACGAUCACAUUUUUUUCUUGGUGGUUUAGGAGGAGAGAAGAUCUCUUGAACUAUGUUUAGGUGUUUGCCUACCUACGGAUUAUGAUUAUCUUCCAUCAAUUAGCAAGAACACAUUCCAUUAAAUAUCUUAUUAUUCAUUUCCACUCUGAUUGAGUUUACAUCCAUGCUACAGAUAGGCAAAGUUUAAGUGGGAUAUCUCACGGCUUCCUUUUGGGCCAUUGAGGUAAACUAUAGUGGGAUAUAAAUUGAUGGUGACAUAUACAGUGGUCAUUGAAGUUCUCAAGCAUACGGUAA